AGGGCACCACCAGGAGUGGAGCCUGCGGCUUAAUUUGACUCAACACGGGAAAACUCACCCGGCCCGGACACUGGAAGGAUUGACAGAUUGAGAGCUCUUUCUUGAUUCAGUGGGUGGUGGUGCAUGGCCGUUCUUAGUUGGUGGAGUGAUUUGUCUGGUUAAUUCCGAUAACGAACGAGACUCUAGCCUAUUAAAUAGAUCGUUGGCUUACAAACGCCGGCGAGACUUCUUAGAGGGACAGGCGGCGAUUCAGCCGCACGAAACAGAGCAAUAACAGGUCUGUGAUGCCCUUAGAUGUCCGGGGCCGCACGCGCGCUGCACUGAAGUGAUCAGCGUGCAUUUUGAAACCUACUCUGUCAAGAGUGGGGAACCCAAUGAACCUUCUUCGUGAUUGGGAUAGGGGAUUGUAAUUAUUCCCCUUGAACGAGGAAUUCCCAGUAAGCGCGAAUCAUAAGUUUGCGCUGAUUACGUCCCUGCCCUUUGUACACACCGCCCGUCGCUACUACCGAUUGAAUGUUU
rnacentral:rRNA from 1 species